AGAGAGAGAAUGGAGAGAAGAGAGAGAAUGGAGAGAAGAGAGAGAAUGGAGAGAAGAGAGAGAAUGGAGAGAAGAGAGAGAAUGGAGAGAAGAGAGAGAAUGAGAGAGAGAGAGAAUGGAGAGAAGAGAGAGAAUGGAGAGAAGAGAGAGAAUGGAGAGAAGAGAGAGAAUGGAGAGAAGACGACCUGGAGGAAAGUGCACAGACACAGCGACACAGGGAGAACGUGCAGACGGUGGUGAGAAUGUUCUGCGUGUGGAUCUGUGUUUGUCUCCAGGACUUUGGUCUGUGCUUCGCUCUGACUCGCUUCAGUGUUUGUGUUUGUUUUGGAUUCUGCAGCUCAGACUCUGACCUCCAGAUCGUUCACCUGAGCAGAGGCACAGCGCUCUAUCGCCCCCUGCUGGACGACACGGGAACAUGUGGCACAAUUAUAAUUACCGAACCGAGUCGAAAUGUAACAGGGGCGCAACUGGAGCCGCUGCUUUACACCGAAAACCACAUUUAAAAACAUAAAACCACGUGUAUUAUUGGUGAAACUCACUAAUCGCUCAUUCUGUUUUGAAAUUUUGACGUGAAAAUGCCACUGUUUUUGUUUUUAAGCCUUUUAAAGUCAAGAAAUUCAAAUCAAAAUAGUCAUAAUAGUUAUUUUAUUCGCUGAUUAUUUGUCACAAUUCUUCAGAUAAACUCACGAUCGAAUACGCAAAUUUAACUGAACUGAACAAGUGAUGAAGAAAAGUCGAUUUGAAAAGGGAAAGCGCAUGUUUUUUUUUUUAUAUAACAUUUAACAAAAUACAAUAAUCAACAUUUAACAAAAAUACAAUAAUAAACAUAAAAUUAAGGCCGCGCGCGGCGAUGGUGGCCCUCGCCCCGGACACGCAACGCCCCCCCUGGCGAAUGCCGGGGACUCGCGACCGCCCCGACACACCGCUGUCUCUUCCCGACAGCUCCCGAGGCCAACAGCUCGUCCACCAGAAAAAUGACAUAGUGUACCUUUAAAAUAGGAUAAAGUGAAUGAUUCUAGAGACAAACUGUAGACACUAAGCCACAGGUCACGUGACUUUAAUGGUCAAGAGCACUGUCACACUAAGACUAAGUGCAUGAAAACACAUCCUCCACCAGAAAAGUUACAUAGUGCGGCUUUAAAUUUCUCAGAAGUGAAAUUAUUCUAGAGGCCAAAGUGUAAAACUAGGGCAUAGGUCUUACUGACUUUUAUGAUGAGGAGUACGUCAGUGAAUGUUCUGGCAAAGUUUUACAAAUGAAUGUAAAACUAAUUUUAUGUCACACAAUAAUAAAUUGUGUGCAUUCAUAUAGGUGGCGCUGUAUCCCUGAUAACUGUAUUUGACAUAUCAAUGGAAUAAGGGUCAUGCAGUGUAUAACUGAUAGAAAUGUCAUCACAAUCACAAAAAGGUAGGGGGCGCUAUACUGUUCACUUUUCAUAUGUUUUAUAAUUUAUUAUAUUCAGACCAAUAUCCCGCAUAAGUGAUUCAAAUUUCAGCACAAUCAAACUAAGCGUGUCUCUGUAAUAAUUUUAAAAAUAUUUUUCAGUGGAGUCUUUGCGCCCCUGCUGGCCAAUGGUGGAAAAUGCAUCAUGUCCGUUAUGAACUUUUUUGCUUUGCGAAUUUGGUACUAAUCCGAUAAUGUUGAUGUUUCACGUCUAUGCUAGGGGGCGCUAUAGAGUUCACUUUUAUUAAAUUUCAUAUUUCAUUACAUUCAGACUUGGAUCACACAAUUGUGAUUUGAAUUUGAGUUCUGUAGGACAAUGCCUGUGGCCGACAGGUCACCGAAAAAACAGGAAAUGAAGGCGUUAUUCGCCGGCGUGCUACGGCAGGAGUAUCUCAAAAAAAGUUGAAAAUUUCUGUGAGUUCAUGUCUCUAGAUGUGACAUGUCAAAUCUGAGGUUAUUUGGACUAAACCCCGGGGACCUGAAUCUUUUUGUAGACCCCCAAGUCAAAACGGCGCCGAAUGUUUGAUCCAAUAUGGCCGACUUCCUGUUCGUCAUAGGGUCAUGCUCCAAUUCAUCUUUUGUCGUGUUUCAUUGUUCUCUAUCACUGUCCCGAAUUUCGUUUCCCUGCGACAAACUUUGCCUGUCCCUAGUCCCAUAGGGGUCCAAUUCUAGGCGGCGCUGUUGAGUCGGGUCACUCGGGUCAUUGUUGCGAUGCCCAUUUUAUCGAAUUUUUCGCCGGGACAAUCGAUCUGGACCCCGGUUUGGGGACUUUUCGUCCAUGUUCAGGGGUUCAAUGCGAUUCAAUGUGGGGAAAAAUAAAAAAAAAAAAAAAAAAUAAAAGAAACCGACGAAGAACAAUACCCCUCACCGCUAACUUUGCUAGUCACGAGGGCCACAAAUAAUCCAACACCCACAACACAAUCAAAACAACAACUGGCCUGAAGAAAAUGCGGCGCAGUGUUCGGCAGAAGGAGCUGAGUCUGCUCCUUCUCUGUGGCGUCUCCAGGUGUCUCCGGAUGGUGUCCAUCGUGGUCUGUAAAAACUCAUCCUCGUUGAUGAAGGCCUUCAAUUUAACUAAUUUCUUUGUGGAGCCUGUGCACAGGUCUUUGUACACGGCCUCCGCCACUUCCACGAUGUUCUCUCUGUCAGGUCUCACCCUCACGUUCCAUUCACACAUGUUUGACUUCAGCAGCACAACCAGUUUGAUGAACAUGGAGCGCAUUUCAAACAUGUUUUUGGUCUGAAGGACGCGCUUGUUCACCUCAUAAGCCAAGCACAAGAUAUGUUUUGCCUCCCACUUAUAACCCGCAUUUGAGACUCUUAUUGUUGCGGGUCAUUUCCGCUUCACCCCGAUCUCCCCACUUUAAGUUGCGGGGUCACAGUAUCACUUCCUCCUCCUCCGCUCCGCUGUGGCUGUGGCGUGGUCUGGGCGUCGGCAAACUAUUGCAAUAAACUUUUAAACCAGGAAUCCUUUAACAUCCACAAUUGGGUGAGUGUUUUGCCUUACCAUUAAAAUGCUGCCGAUUCAAUAACCCCGUUUAAUAAUGCCGCUAAUCCCACGUCUCCAAUCCUCAUAGAGCCGCCAUAUAGGUUAUACUCACCUGGCCGUGUAUGGAGAGGAAAUCGAAACGGGAAAUUCGAAGGUCAGGUUUUUUUCAAUGGACUGAUUCAACUCCAGCUCUGCAGAAACACUCAACUCAACAAGGAAAUGCAUGAUGGCGAGUUUACCCAACCUGAACUUAGAUUAGCCUAAAUCAAAACACUAAAUAACUGGACUGUUUUCGUUUUUUUAUUUAUUUUUUUGUUAUUGUUGUUCUGUCAAUUUAUUUUCAAUAUACUCCACCCAACUUCAUAUCCAUGUGUUACGUGUCUUCAUUCACACUCAGGCUCCUCAAAGGACAUUUCUUCUGAUGCUGCUUUUGUGGCCGUAGUCUGCCCCUAGCCCUAAAACAUUUUGCGUUACACACUCACUCUGAGAAUGUCCAGGAGAACGUUGGGGACUUGUGACAGUUGGGGUGUUCUGGUGCUGGUGCAGGGACAGAGAGCCAGGCCACUUUGUGGAUCUUAUGAAGGGACCUUCUGACUGGAUCUGUGUUUGAGGGCUGAUGAUCCAGCGUGUCGAGCCACUCGAUCAGGCUGGUCAUGAAGUCGAAGACUGUACUUCGGGCUUUCUGAGAAAAUCUCCAGAUUCCAAAAUAGCUUUUGGGGCUCAUGUGGUUGAUCAGAACCUGAGCGAGGUCUCGGCUCACGUCUUUGUGAUGCCUGUUGGAGAUGUCCUGGGACAGUCUCUUAUAGAAACUGCCCUCCUGGAUGUCUGGAGACAGCUGGACCAGCUUCUUCAGAGGAGCAGAGGCGUCCUCCAUAAUCGUGUCCAGGUCAACAAUGACUUGGCGCUCUCUGGCGAGUUUGAUGACGUGUUGUCUGAAGUAGGUCUUAGCAUGACACAGGGUGAGGAAAGACUGGACCCAGUGUAAAACUCCAUAAAAAGAUUUUUUGCUAAAGCAAUCGGCAGGACUGGAGCCCUGGGAGCUGCCGUGGUGAGAGGAACCCAUCUCAUCACACUUGAUGGUGAUAAUAGAUUCCGCAGCCUCGUCACUGUAGGAGCUCACACUGUCCAACAGCUCCUGCUCCUCCUCUCUGCUGAGGCACGCAGAUUUAGUGACCCUCAAUGCUGCCUCCUCCAGGAUCUUUUUCACCUGUUCAACUGCAGACCUGGUGCUGGAGGUGGGUGAGGUCUGUCCUGGGUCCUGAUCUGGAACAGUCGAGGCCUUCUCCUCUGGUUCCACAGCACGAUGUGGGUAACAGCAGAGGAGCCUGUUCAGAGUGAUCUUUGAAGCUGUCUGCACACUCUCAAAAGUCCCAGUCUCAGUCUUAGUCUGACUCUGGUAACAAGGUGCACAGCUCUGAACCAGUUUCUCUUGAAGCCGCUGGACCCUCUCCUGCUCCUCCUGAUCCAGAGAGGCUGAAGAGGCAGAUGUGGGCUCCGGCAAAGAUGUAGCACCACAGAUCUGAGUCCUCUGUUCGGCUGGUGCUGAGUCUUCAUCCUGUUCAUCUACGGAUGUCUGGGUUUCAUGUGGGAGUAAGGGGUCGAGUGUUCUCCCACUGGGUGCAGUGCCAGGUCUCACGUUAAGCUGCAGGGGAGACCGAGUCCAUGAUGCACAGCGCUGCUGGUUUUCAGAGGUUUUGGAGAGGCCUUCAUCUCCUUCAGAGAUGUAGUGCCCUCUUCAGCUGUGUCAGGAACAGGAGAAGGUAAAGUGUCCUGAGGUGUUGAGCGAACACGUGAGUUUAGUGUGUCCUGAGAAGUUGAGUGACCAUUAGACGUUUCCUCUUCAGGGGAGAGUGUCUGAUCACGCGGCCGACAGCAGCACAUAAAGAAUUUUCUGGCUGUGUUGGCGAUCUCGUUGAGCCUGUGAUUCGGCGUGGUGUAAAGUGGUACACUCUUGUUUACCACUGGUUUGUCCCCCUCGAAACUGGUGCGGGACAUGGCCGAGUUGCCAUGGUAACAAGACUGUAUGGAACUUUAGAGGCUUUAAAGCCACGUUUCCCUGUUGAUCACAGAACCAAGUUUCAUGUUGUUAGGACAAAAAAAUGCCAAAGAUCUGGUAAAAUGAGUGAUAUAUUUUAAAUAUAAACAACUUUUUGAAUUCACUUUUUGUGCAGCACUGGAAUCUGUGUGUCGUUUUUCAAUAAAAAACCAAAGAAGACAG